GAACGCUAGCGGCAGGCUUAACACAUGCAAGUCGAGGGGCAGCGUGGAGCAGCAAUGCUCUGACGGCGACCGGCGGAAGGGUGCGUAACACGUGAGCGACUUGCCCGUCACAGGGGGGAUAACCGGCGGAAACGGCGACUAAUACCCCAUACGAUGCGAUGCUGCAAGGCAUUGCAUUGAAAGAUUCAUCGGUGGCGGAUAGGCUCGCGGGACAUUAGCUAGACGGCGGGGCAACGGCCCACCGUGGCGACGAUGUCUAGGGGUUCUGAGAGGAAGGCCCCCCACACUGGGACUGAGACACGGUCCAAACUCCUACGGGAGGCAGCAGUGAGGAAUAUUGGUCAAUGGGCGAGAGCCUGAACCAGCCAAGUAGCGUGAAGGAUGACUGCCCUAUGGGUUGUAAACUUCUUUUAUAAAGGAAUAAAGUCGGGUAUGGAUACCCGUUUGCAUGUACUUUAUGAAUAAGGAUCGGCUAACUCCGUG
rnacentral:rRNA from 1 species